CCUACGGGAGGCAGCAGUGAGGAAUCUUGGUCAAUGGGCGUGAGCCUGAACCAGCCAAGUCGCGUGAAGGAUGAAGGUUCUAUGGAUCGUAAACCUCUUUUAUAAGGGAAUAAAGUGAGGGACGUGUCCCGUUUUGUAUGUACCUUAUGAAUAAGGAUCGGCUAACUCCGUGCCAGCAGCCGCGGUAAUACGGAGGAUCCGAGCGUUAUCCGGAUUUAUUGGGUUUAAAGGGUGCGUAGGCGGCCUUUUAAGUCAGUUGUGAAAGUUUGUGGCUCAACCGUAGCAUUGCCGUUGACACUGGCAGUCUUGAGUACAGUUGAGGUAGGCGGAAUUCGUGGUGUAGCGGUGAAAUGCUUAGAUAUCACGCAGAACCCCGAUUGCGAAGGCAGCCUGCCAAGCCACGACUGACGCUGAUGCACGAAAGCGUGGGGAUCAAACAGGAUUAGAGACCCCAGUAGUC
rnacentral:rRNA from 1 species